rnacentral:snoRNA from 1 species
ACUUAAUGAUGAUCCUAAUCUUUGGUCCGUGUUUAUGAGGUGGAUUCAAGACCCACCGUAUGAGUGACAAAGAAGAUUCUAAAUAUCAAUUCUGAAUUU